GAUGAACGCUGGCGGCGUGCCUAAUACAUGCAAGUCGAGCGAACAGACGAGGAGCUUGCUCCUCUGACGUUAGCGGCGGACGGGUGAGUAACACGUGGAUAACCUACCUAUAAGACUGGGAUAACUUCGGGAAACCGGAGCUAAUACCGGAUAAUAUAUUGAACCGCAUGGUUCAAUAGUGAAAGACGGUUUUGCUGUCACUUAUAGAUGGAUCCGCGCCGCAUUAGCUAGUUGGUAAGGUAACGGCUUACCAAGGCAACGAUGCGUAGCCGACCUGAGAGAGUGAUCAGCCACACUGGAACUGAGACACGGUCCAGACUCCUGCGGGAGGCAGCAGUAGGGAAUCUUCCGCAAUGGGCGAAAGCCUGACGGAGCAACGCCGCGUGAGUAAUGAAGGUCUUCGGAUCGUAAAACUCUGUUAUUAGGGAAGAACAAAUGUGUAAGUAACUAUGCACGUCUUGACGGUACCUAAUCAGAAAGCCACGGCUAACUACGUG
rnacentral:rRNA from 1 species